AUUUUAUUUUAUCAAAAAAUAUUUUAUUGAUGUGUUCUGUCUCUAAUUCUUUUUUUUUCAGAUGUGCACUUGUGUCUUAGGCUUAUGCUUUGCAAAAGGUUCACCAUCGCCCUUAAGUUGCUGUGGGUUUUACGGUUUUACUUCCAACCUAGCAUAUAAAUGCACUUAGUAUCUGAAGUUAUUUGUCAAUAACUGGUGAUCAGACUUUCAAACGAACACGUUUUUAAGGGCUGAGAAGGUGAAAGUUAGAAGUCUGCAGACUGCAACGUAAAUCAAUUUUCAACACAUGGUUUUCUGAAUAUAUUUAGUUUUCGAUUGAAAUGAGAACAAACUGAACUUAUAGAUAUGUUGAAAAUUAACUAUUUUAUAUUUUAAACGUUCGCUAAACGCAAGUGAAGCAAUAAUCUAUAGAUGCAAAUAUACUUUAUAUUUUGUU
rnacentral:lncRNA from 1 species